rnacentral:lncRNA from 1 species
UAGGAAAAAAUAAUGAAAAAUUGAAAAAUUGGAUGACACAUGGAAAAUAGGAAAAUAUGAAAAAUGGCAAAAUGGAAACGAAUUGAGAUUGCUGAAAUGAGAAAUAAGACAAUAACCAUUAUUGGUCAAUUCGAAUGAGUUGGUGAAUUAGGCAAAUAGGCAACUCCCUUAUUUCAAAUACAUAAUGGGAAAAUGACCAAGUUGGGAACGUCCAACAUACAAAUAUAUUACAAAAGGCAUAAAGUCAACCUGGGUAAUAACUCCCGCCUAUACUAUCCCGCCCAAUACUAUCCCGCCUAACACUCCCGCCAAUCCCUCCCGCCAAUUACUCCCCCUAAUCCCUCCCGCCAAUAACUCUCUGACUUACUGGUUUGGUCAUUAAAAC